rnacentral:lncRNA from 1 species
UCAAAUCAUGAUCUGAGAAAUUACACAAUAGCAUGUUGUUGCGAUGGCUUGUUUCUUCUUCGGUGUCGUGGUGAAUUUUUACUGUGGAACCCAUCCACAAAUUAAGCAGUACAACUUCCUAAUUAUGAAUUUCCAGACGCAACCAGUUUCGGGUUGGGAUAUGACUCGAUUAGCGAUGACUAUAAGAUUCUUGCGACUGAAAAUUGCAAUGGUGACAGGCGGC